rnacentral:lncRNA from 1 species
UUCAGCCUUACAAGCUUACCCUGCUCGACCAGCUCACUCCUCCAUCGUAUGUCCCCAUGGUAUUCUUCUACCCCAUUACUGGCCCUGCAGUCUUCAAUCUUCAAACCCUAGCUGACUUAAGACAUGCCCUUUCCGAGACUCUCACUUUGUACUAUCCACUCUCUGGAAGGGUCAAAAACAACCUAUACAUCGAUGAUUUUGAAGCCGGUAUCCCAUACCUUGAGGCCCGAGUGAAAUGUGACAUGACUCAUUUUCUAAGGCUUCCAAAAAUCGAGUGCCUAAAUGAGUUUGUUCCAAUAAAACCAUAUAGUAUGGAAGCAAUAUCUGAUGAGCUUUACCCCUUGCUUGGAGUUCAAGUCAACAUUUUCGAUUCUGGGAUAGCAAUAGGUGUCUCCGUCUGUCACAAGCUCAUCGAUGGCCGAACGUCAUACUGUUUUCUCAAGUCCUGGGGUGCUGUUUUUCGUGGGUGUCGUGAUGAAAUCAUACAUCCUAAUCUCUCUCAAGCAGCAUUGCUUUUCCCACCGAGAGAUGACCUGCCUGAAAAGUAUAUAGCUUUGAUGGAAGGGUGGUCGAUUGCCGUAAAGAAAGUUGCUACAAGGAGAUUUGUAUUUGGUGCGAAAGCCAUAUCUGCAAUUCAAGAUGAAGCGAAGAGCGAGUCCGUGCCCAAGCCAUCACGAGUUCAGGCCGUCUCUGGUUUUCUCUUGAAACAUCUUCUCUCUGCUUCUCGGGCAUCAUCAUCAGGUAAAUCAGUUUAUGUGUCUUCUUAAAAGUGCACCACAUGCAAUUGCGUGAUUGGCAAAGGAGGGCUAGGCGUGAUUAAUUAAGCUAGAGAAGACAAGGUUUUUCCAUUAAUUGUUAGUGAGGCUUGCUCAAAUGCGAGCGUACAAGAGUUUUCAGUAGCUUUAUUUCUGCUGCUUAGGUUAUACCGGAUUUGUUUUGUAAGUUAGAAAAAUACAACUUAUUGGAUAUUGUUAUAAGCAUCUAAUUAAUGAUAUGAAUGAAAAAGAAAAAAGAUCGUACACUUAACAUUUUUCUGCUAUUAUUUCAUACUUAUUUUAUAUUUUUGUAUUACAUAUACUGUACAUAGCUUAAAAAUGAGAAAAUAUAUGAACUUUUGCAGGUACUACUUCAACAAAACUUUCUAUAGCAGCUCAGGUAGUGAACUUAAGAUCACAGAUGAACAUGGAGACAACGUUGGGUAAUGCCAUUGGAAACCUGAUGUGGUGGGCUCCGGCCAUACUAGAGUUAAAUCAUAAAGCACGAGAGAGCAGCGAUCCUAAGCUGUGUGACUUGGUUAUCUUGCUCAAUGAAUCUGUCAAACAAUCUAACAGUGAUUACUUCGACACUUUCAAGGGUAAAGAGGGAUAUGGAAGAAUGUGUGAGCAUCUAGAUAUGGAGGGGACUGUAAGUUCUGUAGAACCAGCACCAGAGAUAUAUUCAUUCUCGAGCUGGACUAGAUUUUUCGACCAAAUUGAUUUUGGAUGCAUGGGGGAGGUCAUCUUGGAUUGGAGUUACCGGAAAACAAUCUGCAUAUUGGAAUUCCACAGUUUUAGUACCAACACAAUGUGAUACUGGAAUUGAAGCGUGGGUGAAUCUAGAUGAAGAGAAAAUGGCUAUGCUAGAACAAGAUCCCCAGUUUCUAGCAUUAGCAUCUCCAAAGACCCUAAUUUCAAGGUAUUGAUUAUGAAAGAUUAUGUGGCUCGUGCAAUGUUUCCAUUUGCAGUGAAUAAGGAUUAAAUUAGUUCCCCGGCCAAUUAAUAAGAAGCAAGGUAUGAUAGACUAUGGCUACGUAUGUUAGUAUGUUAUCCGAAUGUGCUUCGUUAUGCUUUUAACCAAUAUAGCUCUGUUUUGUAACAAUGCUCUAUUGAGCUUCUAACUAUAGAGUUAUUUUUCUUGAUUAGAAAAAGAAACUAUGCAAGUUUUGUUUUGUUAAGCUAUUCUGUUUCUAAAAGAAAGGCUAUUCUGUUUCUAAAACGGGAUGCAUGUAUUACCUAAAAAGAUGAUUCACCUAUAAUUAUUUUUCAAGUAAAUGAUUAUUUGAUAGCAAUCACGCCGUGUAUUUCUAUAGCUAAAAUUGUAAUUUAGAUCAGUGACAACAUGAUUAAAAGUUACAUAUUCUGAUACAUUUGUUAUUUAACGACAAGUGUGGCCAUAAUGCCUCACCUAGUCACCUAAUGCGAAGACCUCUACGAGAGACUAAUGUCGUCUGAUCUUCUUUUCUUAAUCAAAAGAAACGAAAAUGGCCACAAUGCCUCACUAUUCAUAGAACCAUACAAUAAUUUGGAACAUAUGCAUGGAUGCAAAGAAAAAUAACACAAGAACCAUCAUAAUUUCACAUUAUAUGAGAAACUUAGCCAAAUCCGAAUCACAUCCAUGUUGGCCAAGAGUGACUAAAGAAGACCACCCAGAAAGCUAGAAAACCAUAAAAUCCAGAAAACUUGAAUAAGCUAGGGAAAAAACAAAAAUGUGACAUUCCAUUUCUUCUUGCGGUUUUGUUAGGCCAAAUCAAAAUCUCAAUGACCCUGCAAUCAUUUACACACACUCUUUCUCAAUCUCUGCAAAACUGACUGCUUCCCCUGAAAACUUGCGCAAUAGGGUACCUAGCUCUCUGGCCUUUUCUUUCUAAUGCACAAUUUAUGGCUUUUGGUAAUGAUGAUUUUAUGCUUGUGGAUCUCAGAUGGGUUUGUUUUGUUUUGGGAUUUUUAUAAAUGAAUGCAUUGAAAAUGUUGAAAGCUUAUGCCUUUGUUCCUUGGUUCAGUGUUCUGGUUUUGUGUACGUACGAGAGUUGAAAUGUGAUCUCUAGUAUCGGUAAAGAGAAAUGUUCUAACCAUGCUAGUGUUAGUAAUUUAUCUUCUAAAGUUGUUUGAGUACUUUACUCUCUUACUUUACUAACUAAGCAUAGGAAAUAACGACCUAAACUACCUGAUUUUCGUUAGUGCUUGUAAACACGAAAAUUCCUGUAACGAAUAACAGAAAGACAUGUGUACAAAAUAAUAUAUUUGUAUUGAUUGAAUUUGCGGGUUACAAUCUCUAUGGGUAUUCUUUUAACAAGAAUGUCCUCUGAUUCGAUCUCCGAUGUUGAUUUGAUCCAAGGGUGACAAGCACUUGAUCUUGAAUUGAACUGUUGUAGUUUGAACUUCUUAUUGUGUUGACGAUUUGUAGAAGGAAGUUGACCAAGGGCCAUAGAGGCUUGAUCUUGGUCGAAUAUGGGCCGCGAGAGGUGUCACGUGGUGAACGUUCUUCGACUUGAUAGCGGAUGAAUCGGCACGUGUGUUUGGUACUUGUUGAUUCUCCACGAGGUUGUUGAAGAACUUGGUAGAAGUUUUGAUUUGUUGAAAGACUUGAAGACGAGGGUUGAUCAAGGGCCGUAGAGGCUUGACGUUGAUCGAGUUUGGGCCGAGCAGUUCCACAUGGUGGUUGCUCUUCGUCUUGUAGUUGGUGAAGAUGUCAGCUAUUUGGCAACUUGGGACUCUUCGGGAUUUGACAACCUAUAGGCUUGAGGUUGAUGAAGAAUCAACUAUUUGGCAGCUUGAUGAUUCUUCAAGGGUUUUGGGAGAAUUCUAAACUCUCGGGAGUAAUUUUUCUCUCUUGUCUGAAAGUCGUCCUCUUGAUAUGAGAGGGGGUAUUUAUAGUGUUAAUGCUCCUCCGUAAAUGGAAUGCAUUGAAGUCACAGCUUUAAUUAUAUUUCCUUAAUGAUAUAAUUAAAUCAAUCACUUUUGAUUGAUUGAUUCAAUUAUUCAAUUUCCCAUAAUUAAAUCAAUCAGUCUUAAUUGAUCGAUUUAGUUAUGAUCGAUAAGGUAUUUCACUAAUUUGAUUAAAUUCCGACUUCCUUUUCGAUAAUUGAUUUGAUUUGAUUGAUGUUUGAUUAUCGAUUGACAUUUAAUAUUUUAUUUUAGUUGGGAUUGAUGAUUUUGUUGUCGACCGACCAUUCACACGCCGCCACGUGUUAUUUUCGAAGACUUUUCAACUUUGCUGACUCACGAGCCACGUAUGCACGAGACUUUUCAACGUCUCUAAUUUACAUAGUAAUUGACGCAAUUUGGCCGAACUGUUUCUAAACACACUAAGCUUCAGUUCUAUAUAUACCGCGUACCACAUGUUUCAUCAAGUGUCAGAUAAUACAGAACCUACUUCGCCAAAAUGGAGAAAAUUGAGGUCAGUAUAAUUUCCAAACACACCAUCAAACCAUCAACUUCCUCUUCACCACUUCAGCCUUACAAGCUUACCCUGCUCGACCAGCUCACUCCUCCAUCGUAUGUCCCCAUGGUAUUCUUCUACCCCAUUACUGGCCCUGCAGUCUUCAAUCUUCAAACCCUAGCUGACUUAAGACAUGCCCUUUCCGAGACUCUCACUUUGUACUAUCCACUCUCUGGAAGGGUCAAAAACAACCUAUACAUCGAUGAUUUUGAAGAGGGUGUCCCAUACCUUGAGGCUCGAGUGAACUGUGACAUGAAUGAUUUUCUAAGGCUUCCGAAAAUCGAGUGCCUAAAUGAGUUUGUUCCAAUAAAACCAUUUAGUAUGGAAGCAAUAUCUGAUGAGCGUUACCCUUUGCUCGGAGUUCAAGUUAACAUUUUCAACUCCGGAAUAGCAAUCGGGGUCUCCGUCUCUCACAAGCUCAUCGAUGGAAGAACUUCAGACUGUUUUCUCAAGUCGUGGUGUGCUGUUUUUCGUGGUUCUCGUGACAAAAUCAUACAUCCUAAUCUCUCUCAAGCAGCAUUGCUUUUCCCACCAAGAGAUGACUUGCCUGAAAAGUAUGCCCGUCAGAUGGAAGGGUUAUGGUUUGUCGGAAAAAAAGUUGCUACAAGGAGAUUUGUAUUUGGUGCGAAAGCCAUAUCUGUAAUUCAAGAUGAAGCAAAGAGCGAGUCCGUGCCCAAGCCAUCACGAGUUCAGGCUGUCACUAGUUUUCUCUGGAAACAUCUAAUCGCUACUUCUCGAGCACUAACAUCAGGUAUGUAAAAUCAGUUUAGCAACAAGCCAAAUACUAAAGCAACUAAAUAAAAACCUAUUGUAUUUGGGGUAGUCCCUUAUUAGCUGUUGUCCUAAACUUCUAACGAUAUGAACUUUUUUCUCAAAAGAAAAAAAUAGUACACUUAACAUUUUCUGUUAUAAUUUCAUACUUAUUUAUAUAUUUUUAUUACAUACAUAGCUCAAAGAAUGAGAAAAUAUAUGAACCUGCAGGUACUACUUCAACAAGACUUUCUAUAGCAACCCAGGUAGUGAACAUAAGAUCACGGAGGAACAUGGAGACAGUGUGGGAUAAUGCCAUUGGAAACUUGAUAUGGUUCGCUCCGGCCAUACUAGAGCUAAGUCAUACAACACUAGAGAUCAGUGAUCUUAAGCUGUGUGACUUGGUUAACUUGCUCAAUGGAUCUGUCAAACAAUGUAACGGUGAUUACUUUGAGACUUUCAUGGGUAAAGAGGGAUAUGGAAGCAUGUGCGAGUAUCUAGAUUUUCAGAGGACUAUGAGUUCUAUGGAACCAGCACCAGAGAUUUAUUUAUUCACGAGCUGGACUAAUUUUUUCAACCAACUUGAUUUUGGAUGGGGGAGGACAUCAUGGAUUGGAGUUGCAGGAAAAAUUGAAUCUGCAUUUUGCAAUCUCAUAACAUUAGUUCCAACACCAUGCGAUACUGGAAUUGAAGCGUGGGUGAAUCUAGAAGAAGAAAAAAUGGCUAUGCUAGAACAAGAUCCCCAGUUUCUAGCACUAGCAUCUCCAAAGACGCUAAUUUCAAGAUAUUGAUUAAGGAAGAUUAUGCGGCUCGUGCAAUGUUUCCAUUUUGUUGUGAUUAAGGCUUAAAUUAGUUCACCAGCCAAUCAAUAAGAUGCAAGUAUGAUAGACUCGGUCUACGUAUGUUAUCCGAAUGUGUUUCCACAUGCUUGUAACCAAUAUAGCUCUUGUUUGUAACAAUGCUCUAUUAAGCUCUUCUAUCCAUAAAGUUAUUUCUCUAUUAAAAAGAAAACUAUACAAGUUUUGUUAAGUUUUUAAGGUAAGAUGCAUGUAGUACCCAAAAAGAUGGUUGACCUGUCAUUAUUUUCAAGUACAUGAUUAUCCGAUACAAUUACAUCAAAUAUUUCUAUAGCUAAAAAGUAUGUAAUUUUGAUCCGUGACAACAUGAUUAAAAAGUUAUAUAUUAUGAUGCAUUUAUCCUCUAACGACAAGCAUGGUCAUAAUGUCUCACCUCAUCACCUCACCAAGCGCGGAUCCAGUUCACAAGUGGGUAAGGCUCAAGCCCAACCAAGAAAAUUGGGGGAAAAAAAAACCUAAGUAUAGAUAUAUAUUUUUUUGGGUGAUAUAUCAUAUAUGCCCAGCCAUCAAGUGACCAAGCCCAACCCACCUAACUCAACCCAUCCCACUAACUACCCAAGUCCACAAUCAUCACUCAUCACUCAUCCACCCAACCUCCUUCAUCGAAGGAGUCCUUUAACUAAUCAGCUUAAACACCAAGUCUAAAAGUCUUCCCUGCUCUUCCCCUCCGCCUCCACUCAGUCACUCACCUAUGACCUAUCCCGGCUAUCCGGCUAUCCCUCUUCCCCUCCAGUCCUCCACGGCUCCACCAUAAUCUCCUUCUUCCCGGCCUCCUCCGGUCCUCCGAUUCCUCCCGGAUAGCGACGACUCGCCUCCGGCGGUCCGGACCUCCGCGGCUCCGCCUCCAGUCCUCCACUCACCUAUCCCUCUUCCAGCUGCUAGAAAGCUUGUUCGAGACUUGGUCCUCCACAGACAACCCAUUAGUCCAUUACCCAUCUUUCUUCACUCUCAGCCAGCAUGGUUGUACUAGAAAUUUUUUUUUGGCCUUCGGCCAAAGUUCAAGCCCACCCCAUCUUUAAAUCAUGGAUCCGCCACUGCACCUCACCAUAGUGUCCUAUCCUCUUAGGAGAAGGUAGGCACCUAAUGCAAAGGCCUUUAUGAGAGACUAAUAUCGUCUGAUCUUCUUUUCUUAAUCAAAAGAAAUGAAAAUGGCCACAAUGCCUCACUAUUCAUAGAGCCAUACAAUACUCUGGAACAUAUGCAUGGAGACAAAGAAAAAUAACACAAGAACCAUUAUAAUUUCACUUUAUACGGGAAACUUAGCUAAAUCCGAAUCAUGGGCGGAGCCAACCCAGGUGAAAUUUUGAAGCCCAAAAAAUUACCUGAAACAUCGUCGUUUGGGUGUAGGUUAUUUCUCCGUUUACUUCUUCUCAAUCUUAGUCAUAACUCACACCAUUGCGUCCGUAGCCCGUCGUUGUCGCUAGAGCGGUCGCCAUUUCCCAUAGCCCGCGCCGUCGCCCGUAGACCACAUCCCGAGUCAGUCAGUCCCCACUUGGCUACUUCCCCAGGUAUGGCUCAAUCGGAUUGCUUAUAUUCUGAUCGUGGACAUAGCAGGCUUCAAUUCAAAAGCCAUCAUAUUCAUAUGCUUCAAUGUUGCUUUACUUCGUCUAUAACUAGAGUUUCAGCUUUGCUUCGUCUUCAAUGUUGAUAUGUUGAUAUAAAAUAUUAACUUGAUUAGGAUUUGUUGAUAUAGAAUAUUACCUUGAUUAGGAUUUGUUGUUAUGUAAUAUGUAUUAGGAUAUUUAUUACUCAUAUUAGGAUUUGUUAUAUGAUCUUACAUCCUUACGAAUGAAUAUACAUCAACACAAUCGAAAUCUGCAUGGUCAUAUUAGCCUUAACUAGUUCAGUCCAAUUCAUAUUAGUCUUAAACUAGUUCAGUCUAAUUCCUCAUGGGUAUAUGCUGAACUUUAAGAUGUUGAUCUUCUAUAAUAACUGAGUUCGAUACCAGAAAUCUUUGAUGAUUGUCCACAUAUGUUAUCUUAUAAUCCUAUAUUAAUUUGUACUAAUCUCAUAGUCUUAAUUUGAAAGCUCCUUAUACGUCUUAACUUGGAUAUGGAUGUGGAUUUGAUCUUAUUAUAUGUAAUAUUAAAGUGAAGUUGUUGUAUUACACAGAAUGUUUGAUGAAUAAAUAACAAAUUGAUCGCGUCAAAAGGCUAGAUCAAAAAAUUUCUUGCACCAUCGAACAAAUUUUCUUGUGUAUACAAUUUCAUGGUUCCGCCACAUUGGCAACAAAGAGUGAUUGGAAAAGAAGAACACCCAGAAAGAUAAAAACCAUAAAACUUGUUUAAGCGAAAAAAACAAAAGUAUGCCAUUCAUUUCUUCUUGCGGUUUUGUUAGGCCAAAAAUCAAAAUCCCAUGAUACCCAAUCAGUUACACACUCUCCCUCUCAAUCUCUACAGAACUGACUGCUUCCCCUGAAAACUUGCGCAAUAAGGUACCCAUCUCUCUGGCCUUUUCUUUGUAAUGCAUAUAAGUUCCUGUAAAUUUUAAAGCUUUUGGAAUGAUGAUUUUAUGCUUGUGGAUCUCAAGAUGAGUUUGUUUGUUUUUUUCGGGAUUUUUAUAAUGAAUGCAUUGAAAAUGUUGAAAGCUUAUGCCUUUGUUCCUUGGUUCAGUGUUUUGGUUUUGUAUACGAGAGUUGAAAUGUGAUCUCUAGCUUGACUGUUGGUAUUGGUAAAGAGAAAUGUUCUAGAAAACCAUGCUAGUAUUAGUAAGUUAUCUUCUAAAGUUGUUCGAGUACUGUACUAAGCAUAGGAAAUAACGACCUAAGCUACCUUAUUUUCGUUAGUGCUAGCUGCUAUGAGAAACUUACCCAAUUCGUUGUUAAAAAUAGGGAAAAUACCCAAAUACUCAAAAAUUAGAAAGCUAAAACCCAUUCCAAUGAAAUUAUAAUCCUUUAGCUCAUUCCUAUGUUACACCGAUACUCCACCCCACGGACACUCCAACACUCCCGACACACCGAUAUCGAUACGAUACACCAAAAUGUGUGUCCGACACGCCACGUGGCGUGUCAAAAAAAGUUGACUUUUUAGACACGUUACGUCAGCCUGAGACACGCCAAGUCAGUGUGUAUUGAUUGAAAAAAAAAAAUACAGAACUAAAAGUCUAAAACCUAAUCGAAGAGGAAGCCCACUUUAAAGAAGCCGCAUAGAAGAGGAACGAUGUCACCGUUCACUAUCACUGCGAGAACGACGUCGUCUGUCCAUGUCAGUGUGAUUGUUCCUCCGAUGACACCACUCUGCGAGAACGACGAGAACAGCGUCGCCUUUCUCUGUUACAGCGACUCGUCCUCCGUCGGCCUAAACCCUCUCUUUAGUGUAAGGUUAAUCUUAAUCUCAGCUUUGACGUGUUUGGUGAUUGCAGUCUCAUUUGCAGUAACAGAAAAGCAUAUAAGAUUUUAAUCAUUUUAUGAUCAUUCUGAUACCACUUAUAGAUUUUUAAGGCAAUGUGCUAUUGAAGCAUCUGCACUGUGAUGUUAAGUGUCAUGAUAUUGCUCAAUUGCUGAUAGGGUAGGAUGGAGCUAGACAUUUGAGACUUUGCAAAAUUGAGUUUAUACCUACUAGUAUUAGAUCAUCAAUUAGUUGAGAGUUUGUAGGAGGUCAGGUUUUAUACUUGGUGAGAAACAUCGGCUCAUCUGUAUUUGUAAGGAAGAUUUAAUUGAAAGGAGUUGUGUAUGGAUUGCUUAUUUGUUUAUCUUUGCUCUGUUAAUUGUUAAUAUGUUAUGAUAUGCUGCUGUGUCUAUGCUGAUGUGCUUAUGCUACUGUGUGUCUAUGCUACUGUGUCUAUGCUAUUGUCUUAUGUUGUUUUGUUGGAUUAUUAUGAUUAGGAUGAGUUCAAGUGCGACAUCUACUGAACCUAGUGUUGAAUCAACUAAGCCUGAAAAAUUAGAUGCUCCUCUAUCAAGGAUAAAGGAUGAUGCCAAUGCAUGCGUGCCUUGCUCUUAUGUAUUUUGAAUAUCUCAGUUAUGGGGUUUUAGGCAGUUGGUGUUAUUAUAGGGUUAGGAAAGUCGGAUUUUCAUUCAGUUUGAUGAAUGUGUUGAAUUAGAUAAAACUAUUUAGUAAUCAUCCUUUAGAUUAAAUAUUGACUCUCUUUUAUGUUAUUUGUUACAGUUAUGCAAUUGCUUAAAUUUAGAGCAUUAUUUAAGCAAUGUGAUAAAUUUAUUCAUAUUUGAGCAUUUUUUUAUUAAUUAGAAAUAUACAAAUAAGUAAUUAUAUUUGCCGUGUCUAAGCCGUGUCGAAAAUGUAGUCUUUGAGUUUUGCCGUGUCGCCGUGUCAGUACGUAUCGUGUCGCCGUAUCCGUGUCCGUGUCCAUGUAACAUAGGCUCAUUCCAAUGAUUCUUAUGCAAAAGACAUUAUUANNNNNNNNNNNNNNNNNNNNCUCUCUCUCUCUCUCUCUCUCUCUCUCUCUCUCCUCUCUCUCUCUCUCUCUCUCUCUCUCUCUCUCUCUCUCUCUCUCUCUCGGUGUACGACGAUGCAAGGUUGAAGACGCAGCCUCCUACUGAGUCGACGAGACCGCGCUCGUGGUCGUGAUUCUCCUCAACAGCGACAUCGAUUUUGGCGGCACCUCUCGGAGAUGAUCCUCAUCUGCCAGAACCUCUGCAACAAUCUCUAGAGCCCUAACGAGCACAUCCGGGGCGUCACGCUCCAGUUCCUCUACUGGUUGAGCAAGUUGGAGAUUGUCCGGCCGUUGAUUUCAUCGAUUUUGGCCAAUCUAGUCAGAGAUUGAGGUCUGUGUUUAGUGCAAACAUGGAUAACGUUCUUCUUCUCCUUUUUUUAUCGGAGAUCGUGUUUUUGUUUUUGUUUUGGUCAGAGAGAUUGUGGUUUUUUCCCCUUUUUUUUUCAAUAUAAUGGUUAUUAAAUGAUAGUAUCUUGAUUAUUGGAGUAAUUAGUCUAUUAUUGGGAGGUAAGAAGUAUCUAGUGGAGGUCAAUAAACAUUUAUUGACCCCAAUAUUGCUUUUAUAAAUUUUUUUUGAGAUGUAGGGAUUUGCCUUAGAGGUAAAAACUUCCUUUUUAACUCGAUUACUAGGAAUCAUUAACUGAUUAUUGAGGUUAAGUAACUGAUUAUUGAGGGUCAGUAAGUGAUUAUUGGGGUUCAGUAACUGAUUAUUGGGGGUUAAUAACUGAUUAUUGGGGGUCAUUUUGAGAGUCAGUAACCGAGUUAUUGGUGAUCAGAAUCCAGCAACCGGAAAAAAUCUGAGUUACUGGGGGUCAGUAACUAAGUUACCGGUUAUCGGAAUCAGGCGACCGGAGAAAAUAUGAGUUACUAGGAGUCAAUAACGGCGACCGAAGAAAUUUCUGGCAACCGGGGACCGGAAUCCGGCGACCGGCAACCAGAGUCCGGCGGCGGGUGACCGGAGUCCGGUGAGAUUCCGGCCAAGUAUUCUCUCUCUUCCACUUUCUCUCUCUAUACAUGUUGAAGUGGUGAGAGUAAAAUUGUCUUAAAAAUAUAUAAAAAUUAUUUUUUAUUAUAACAUUAGUAAAGAUUUGUGCAUAAAAAAUGUUACCUUAUAUUGGAAUGAGCUCAUGAAAAAGAUUAACAUUAAAAUGGGGAAUAAGAGGUUUAAAUUAGUAUUAAAUUGACAUUUUCCCUUUAAAAUAAUAACAGAACCAUCAAUGCCGUGAUAGUCCCUUAAUAUUUGGUGGCUAAUUAGUAAUGCAUUCAUGGUAGUUGUGCUUAUUUUGUGCAUGUAUUCUAAUUCUAUCACUUGCAAAAUCGUUGUGGAAGGUUAAGAGGAGAAAACAGAAAAUGGGGCAGCAUGCAUCUCAUUUUAUUUCCGAUCAUAUUUUCAUAUCAUAGACGUUCACUAUUUAGAUAUACAUGAGUUGAUCAUCUCUACAAAAUUUCAACUAAUUUAGUUAUCAUUAAGGUAUCGAAAAUGUAUUAAAUCAAUGAACGAACCGAAUCUGUUCAUCCUGAACUGUACGUUCUAUUAGUUCUAAAUCACAGUUUUGAAUGUCUUAAUGAUUAUCAACUUGGCUGAAAAUUUAUAUAGAUGAUCUACUGAUAUAUAUACCUAAAAUAUGAACGGUUGAGAUGAGAAAAUAUGAUCGAAAGUGGGACAAAUAAUGAAAUCCGUACCUUAGAUAAGGUAAGGAGGUCCUUACCUGAUCAAGAUUGUGUGUGUGUGUCUAUAGAGUUUAGGGUUUAGAGUUUUAGGGUGUCAUGAAGAUAUCAUACAUCCUAAUCUCUCUGAAGCAGCAUUGCUUUUCCCACCGAGAGAUGACUUGCCUGAAAAGUAUGCCGGUCAGAUGGAAGGGUUAUGGUUUGCCGGAAAGAAUGUUGCUACAAGGAGAUUUGUAUUUGGUGCGAAAGCCAUAUCUUCAAUUCAAGAUGAAGCGAAGAGCGAGUCUGUGCCCAAGCCAUCACAAGUUCAGGCCGUCACUGGUUUUCUCUGGAAACAUCUAAUUGCUGCUUCUCGGGCACUAACAUCAGGUAAAAUCAGUUUAUCAACAAGCGUAAUGUAUUUGGGGUAGUCCCUUAUUAAUUAGCUGUUGUCCUAAACUUCUAACGAUAUGAACUUCUUUUUCAAAAGAAAAAAAAUAGUACACACUUAACAUUUUUUCUGUUAUAAUUUCACAUUAUUUAUAUAUUUUUAUUACGUAUAGUGUACUGUGUACAUAGCUCAAAGAAAGAUAAUAUAUAUGAACUUGCAGGUACUAACUACUUCAACAAAACUUUCUAUAGCAGCCCAGGCAGUGAACAUAAGAUCACGGAUGAACAUGGAGACAGUGUUGGAUAAUGCCAUUGGGAUCUUGAUAUGGUCGGCUCCGGCCAUACUAGAGCUAAAGUCAUACAACACCAGAGAUCAAU